rnacentral:rRNA from 1 species
GACGAACGCUGGCGGCGUGCUUAACACAUGCAAGUCGAACGGAAAGGCCCUGCUUGCAGGGUACUCGAGUGGCGAACGGGUGGGUAACACGUGGGUGAUCUGCCCUGCACUUCGGGAUAAGCCUGGGAAACUGGGUCUAAUACCGGAUAGGAGCCAUCUUUAGUGUGAUGGUUGGAAAGUUUUUUCGGUGUGGGAUGAGCUCGCGGCCUAUCAGCUUGUUGGUGGGGUAAUGGCCUACCAAGGCGGCGACGGGUAGCCGGCCUGGGGGGGUGGACGGCCACAUUGGGGCUGGGAUUCGGCCCAGGCUCCCACGGGGGGGAGGAGUGGGGAAUAUUUGAAAAUUGGCGGGAGCCUGAUGCAGCGACGCCGGGGUGGGGAAUACGGGCUUCGGGUUGGAAACUCCUUUCGCUAGGGACGAAGCUUUGUGUGACGGUACCUAGAUAAGAAGCACCGGCUAACUACGUG